UAAGACGGAGGGUGCAAACGUUGUUCGGAAUCACUGGGCAUAAAGAGCACGUAGGCGGUCCGCUAAGUCAAUUGUGAAAUCCCCCGGCUCAACCGAGGAACUGCAACUGAUACUGGCGGACUCGAGGACGGUAGGGGUGAGUGGAACUCCAGGUGGAGCGGUGAAAUGCGUAGAUAUCUGGAGGAACACCGGUGGCGAAGGCGACUCACUGGACCGUCUCUGACGCUGAGGUGCGAAAGCUAGGGUAGCAAACGGGAUUAGAUACCCCGGUAGUCCUAGCCGUAAACGAUGGGUACUAGGCAAUGGGAUUACCUAUGAGUCUCAUUGCCGGAGCAAAUGUAUUAAGUACCCCGCCUGGGGAGUACACUCGCAAGGGUG
rnacentral:rRNA from 1 species